AGAGCGCGUGUGGCCGCCGAGCACAUGGACCCACUGGUCAAGCGGGCUCGGCAAGGCCAGGAUGAAGAGAAGCUACGAACUUAGCAUUCCCAGAGCCCCCCGAGUGGAUAUCCGCGUGGAAAGGAUGUUGGCAGCCCCGGUGACCUCGGAGUCACGGCUGGAUCCACCCUCUUGUCUGAUUUUCUUAACUCUACUACGGUAAGAAGAUGCCCUCCAUCAGCAGGCCGUGUCUGCUGGGACCUCUCUGGAGACUUCCUGAACCCUGUGGAUUUACAGUAAGAUGCAGUUUCCUGGGGAGUAAUUCUGGUGGAUACAAAUUCCGGAGUAUUACACCUGGCUUGCCUGGAGAUGUUACAAGUAGCUGGAUGGAUUCUUCAGCCUGGAUGCCCACUGAAAACAAGGACCGAAACUAAGAGGAUUGUAUCUCUACCCUUGACUCAAUGAGAAUGUUUGUUGUCAUCUCUCGGGCUACCUGGAGCUCCCUCUAAAAUAGAGCCGAGUUCUGUCACCACAGACAUUGGCAGUGGCACUUGCAUGCCCCUGGCAAGCAGUCUAUCCUGAGGUGGAGGAAGUUGCCCUUGAGUUCUGGCUGGUAACCAGCACAGAUGUGAAGCGUUGACUUAAGAGAUGCCAAGUAACUCAGCAGAUGUCACACAGACGAUAAAUAGCAAAGAUGGAAGUCUUCAUGCCGGAGGCAAUCCUAUAAGACAGCUGAGUUCUGCAGAGCUGGUAGGAGACAGACUUGCUCAGGUGAUAGAUCCAGCCAUGAUACUGACCCUAAGAGAAUGAGACGCUCUGCAGAAGACAGAAGAUUCCUGAAACUGGGAAAGGUGCCUAGAAAUCCUGAUAAGAGUGAAGAAGGAGCUGGCAGAGCAGCCUUCCUCCGCACUAUGAAAGACAUCCAACAGAGAGCAAGUUCCCACCUCACUUCCAGCUUGACUCCUUUUUAUCUCCUAACUGUGGUCUGUGAUGUCUUCAGCAAUGGGUACCUGGAGGCACAGCAGCCAUGUUGAACCUAUGAGGUGAUGAAAAACCAUGCAACUAGAAACCAGAAUGGAAGAAAAGAAGAAGCUGGAUCCUUGACUGAAUUGUCGAUGGGGGAUAGUCCAUCAUCCCAGGGCUAAGACCACCUCCAGAUUUCUUGUUUGGUGAAACAAGUCCUGAUUGUUUACAUUCCCUCGUGUUGAGCUGUCUCUUGCUUGUAGCUGAAAGCAUUUCUAAUAGAUAUUCAGAUUAUCAGCCUUAGCUCCAAGCUAGAAUACUCUAUGGGACCUUAGCUUCUCCAUGAAUUCCUUUGCUCAUCUGUGUAAUGCUCAAUAAAUGUAAAUUGAACCCUGAAUGAGGGACAAUGACA
rnacentral:lncRNA from 1 species